UUAAGCGACUAAGCGUACACGGUGGAUGCCCUGGCAGUCAGAGGCGAUGAAGGACGUGCUAAUCUGCGAAAAGCGUCGGUAAGGUGAUAUGAACCGUUACAGCCGGCGAUGUCCGAAUGGGGAAACCCAGUGCAAUUCGUUGCACUAUCGUUAACUGAAUACAUAGGUUAACGAGGCGAACCGGGGGAACUGAAACAUCUAAGUACCCCGAGGAAAAGAAAUCAACCGAGAUUCCCCCAGUAGCGGCGAGCGAACGGGGAGCAGCCCAGAGUCUGAAUCAGCUUGUGUGUUAGUGGAACGGUCUGGAAAGUCCGACGGUACAGGGUGAUAGUCCCGUACACCAAAAUGCACAGGCUGUGAACUCGAAGAGUAGGGCGGGACACGUGGUAUCCUGUCUGAAUAUGGGGGGACCAUCCUCCAAGGCUAAAUACUCCUGACUGACCGAUAGUGAACCAGUACCGUGAGGGAAAGGCGAAAAGAACCCCGGCGAGGGGAGUGAAAAAGAACCUGAAACCGUGUACGUACAAGCAGUGGGAGCACCUUCGGGUGUGACUGCGUACCUUUUGUAUAAUGGGUCAGCGACUUAUAUUCUGUAGCAAGGUUAACCGUAUAGGGGAGCCGCAGGGAAACCGAGUCUUAACUGGGCGUUAAGUUGCAGGGUAUAGACCCGAAACCCGGUGAUCUAGCCAUGGGCAGGUUGAAGGUUGGGUAACACUAACUGGAGGACCGAACCGACUAAUGUUGAAAAAUUAGCGGAUGACUUGUGGCUGGGGGUGAAAGGCCAAUCAAACCGGGAGAUAGCUGGUUCUCCCCGAAAGCUAUUUAGGUAGCGCCUCGUGAACUCAUCUUCGGGGGUAGAGCACUGUUUCGGCUAGGGGGUCAUCCCGACUUACCAACCCGAUGCAAACUACGAAUACCGAAGAAUGUUAUCACGGGAGACACACGGCGGGUGCUAACGUCCGUCGUGAAGAGGGAAACAACCCAGACCGCCAGCUAAGGUCCCAAAGUCAUGGUUAAGUGGGAAACGAUGUGGGAAGGCACAGACAGCCAGGAUGUUGGCUUAGAAGCAGCCAUCAUUUAAAGAAAGCGUAAUAGCUCACUGGUCGAGUCGGCCUGCGCGGAAGAUGUAACGGGGCUAAACCAUGCACCGAAGCUGCGGCAGCGACACUAUGUGUUGUUGGGUAGGGGAGCGUUCUGUAAGCCUGCGAAGGUGUGCUGUGAGGCAUGCUGGAGGUAUCAGAAGUGCGAAUGCUGACAUAAGUAACGAUAAAGCGGGUGAAAAGCCCGCUCGCCGGAAGACCAAGGGUUCCUGUCCAACGUUAAUCGGGGCAGGGUGAGUCGACCCCUAAGGCGAGGCCGAAAGGCGUAGUCGAUGGGAAACAGGUUAAUAUUCCUGUACUUGGUGUUACUGCGAAGGGGGGACGGAGAAGGCUAUGUUAGCCGGGCGACGGUUGUCCCGGUUUAAGCAUGUAGGCUGAUUGUCCAGGCAAAUCCGGAUAAUCAAGGCUGAGGUGUGAUGACGAGGCACUACGGUGCUGAAGUAACAAAUGCCCUGCUUCCAGGAAAAGCCUCUAAGCAUCAGGUAACAUCAAAUCGUACCCCAAACCGACACAGGUGGUCAGGUAGAGAAUACCAAGGCGCUUGAGAGAACUCGGGUGAAGGAACUAGGCAAAAUGGUGCCGUAACUUCGGGAGAAGGCACGCUGGUGUGUAGGUGAAGUCCCUGCGGAUGGAGCUGAGACCAGUCGAAGAUACCAGCUGGCUGCAACUGUUUAUUAAAAACACAGCACUGUGCAAACACGAAAGUGGACGUAUACGGUGUGACGCCUGCCCGGUGCCGGAAGGUUAAUUGAUGGGGUUAUCCGUAAGGAGAAGCUCUUGAUCGAAGCCCCGGUAAACGGCGGCCGUAACUAUAACGGUCCUAAGGUAGCGAAAUUCCUUGUCGGGUAAGUUCCGACCUGCACGAAUGGCGUAAUGAUGGCCAGGCUGUCUCCACCCGAGACUCAGUGAAAUUGAACUCGCUGUGAAGAUGCAGUGUACCCGCGGCAAGACGGAAAGACCCCGUGAACCUUUACUAUAGCUUGACACUGAACAUUGAGCCUUGAUGUGUAGGAUAGGUGGGAGGCUUUGAAGCGUGGACGCCAGUCUGCGUGGAGCCAACCUUGAAAUACCACCCUUUAAUGUUUGAUGUUCUAACGUUGGCCCCUUACCGGGGUUGCGGACAGUGUCUGGUGGGUAGUUUGACUGGGGCGGUCUCCUCCCAAAGCGUAACGGAGGAGCACGAAGGUUAGCUAAUCCUGGUCGGACAUCAGGAGGUUAGUGCAAUGGCAUAAGCUAGCUUGACUGCGAGCGUGACGGCGCGAGCAGGUGCGAAAGCAGGUCAUAGUGAUCCGGUGGUUCUGAAUGGAAGGGCCAUCGCUCAACGGAUAAAAGGUACUCCGGGGAUAACAGGCUGAUACCGCCCAAGAGUUCAUAUCGACGGCGGUGUUUGGCACCUCGAUGUCGGCUCAUCACAUCCUGGGGCUGAAGUAGGUCCCAAGGGUAUGGCUGUUCGCCAUUUAAAGUGGUACGCGAGCUGGGUUUAGAACGUCGUGAGACAGUUCGGUCCCUAUCUGCCGUGGGCGCUGGAGAAUUGAGGGGGGCUGCUCCUAGUACGAGAGGACCGGAGUGGACGCAUCACUGGUGUUCGGGUUGUCAUGCCAAUGGCACUGCCCGGUAGCUAAAUGCGGAAGAGAUAAGUGCUGAAAGCAUCUAAGCACGAAACUUGCCCCGAGAUGAGUUCUCCCUGAGACUUUAAGUCUCCUGAAGGAACGUUGAAGACGACGACGUUGAUAGGCCGGGUGUGUAAGCGCAGCGAUGCGUUGAGCUAACCGGUACUAAUGAACCGUGAGGCUUAACCU
rnacentral:rRNA from 1 species